rnacentral:rRNA from 1 species
GUCUACGGCUAUGCCACCCUGAACAAGUCUGAUCCCAUCUGAUCUCGGAAGCUAAGCGCAGUCGGGCCUUGUUAGUACUUGGAUGGGAGACCACCUAGGAAGACCAGGUGCUGUAGGCA